rnacentral:rRNA from 1 species
GACGUAGGGUGCGAGCGUUGUCCGGAUUUAUUGGGCGUAAAGAGCUCGUAGGCGGUUUGUCGCGUCUGCUGUGAAAACUCGGGGCUUAACCCCGGGCCUGCAGUGGGUACGGGCAGACUAGAGUGCGGUAGGGGAGAUUGGAAUUCCUGGUGUAGCGGUGGAAUGCGCAGAUAUCAGGAGGAACACCGAUGGCGAAGGCAGAUCUCUGGGCCGUAACUGACGCUGAGGAGCGAAAGCAUGGGGAGCGAACAGG